GCAGGCGCGAAACCUUUACACUGCACGACAGUGCGAUAGGGGGAUCCCAAGUGCACAGGCAUAGCGCCUGUGCUUUUCGGUACCCUAAGGCGGUACCAGAAUAAGGGCUGGGCAAGACCGGUGCCAGCCGCCGCGGUAAUACCGGCAGUCCAAGUGAUGGCCGAUCUUAUUGGGCCUAAAGCGUCCGUAGCUGGCCGUACAAGUCCAUCGGGAAAUCCACCUGCUCAACAGGUGGGCGCCCGGUAGAAACUGUGCGGCUUGGGACCGGAAGGCGCGACGGGUACGUCCGGGGUAGGAGUGAAAUCCCGUAAUCCUGGACGGACCGCCGAUGGCGAAAGCACGUCGCGAGAACGGAUCCGACAGUGAGGGACGAAAGCCAGGGUCUCGAACCGGAUUAGAUACCCGGGUAGUCCUGGCCGUAAACAAUGUCUGCUAGGUGUGGCUCCCACUACGAGUGGGUGCUGUGCCGUAGGGAAGCCGCUAAGCAGACCGCCUGGGAAGUACGUCCGCAAGGAUGAAACUUAAAGGAAUUGGCGGGGGAGCACUACAACCGGAGGAGCCUGCGGUUUAAUUGGAUUCAACGCCGG
rnacentral:rRNA from 1 species